rnacentral:rRNA from 1 species
AGAAUCAACGCUGGCGGCGUGCCUAACACAUGCAAGUCGAACGAGAAAGUGGAGCAAUCCAUGAGUAAAGUGGCGCACGGGUGAGUAACACGUGACUAACCUACCCUUGAGUGGGGAAUAACCUGGAGAAAUCUAGGCUAAUACCGCAUAACACCUACGGGUCAAAGGAGCAAUUCGCUUAAGGAGGGGGUCGCGGCAGAUUAGCUAGUUGGCGGGGUAAUGGCCCACCAAGGCAGUGAUCUGUA